CUACUCCUUGCUCUUCCCGCCUAUAUACCGCCGUCGCCAGCUUACCCUGUGAAGGCAUCGCAGUAAGCAAGAUGGGCAAUGCCCAAAACGUCAGGUCGAGGUGUAGCGUACGAAGUAGGAAGAAAUGGGCUACAUUAUCUGAAGCAGAUUAUUCACGGAAAGUCACCUGAAAACGCUGACUCGAAGGUGGAUUUAGCAGUAAGGAGAGAAUAGAGAGCUCUCCUGAAGCCGGCUCUGAAGCGCGCACACACCGCCCGUCACUCUCCCCAACAACCCUAACAUUUGAUAACUAACACAACAACGAUUACAAGGGGAGGCAAGUCGUAACAUGGUAAGUGUACCGGAAGGUGCACUUGGAAUAAC
rnacentral:rRNA from 1 species